UGGCAAGUCCAGUUCUUCCUUCACACUUUUUGGAAGUGUUGAUUGCAAUGACCAUCCUUAAGCUGCAUGAGCUGAAGCUCCCCAAGAGGACUAGGGCAUCCAUGUAUCCAAAAACACUGGAUCCACUGGAUCAGUGUUACAAAAGAUGGCAAGAAGUCCACAUCCCAAACCAAGGGUAGCUGGUCCUGCUUUCUCAAGAGUCAUCGGUUUGACAGGAGAGCUGAGCAGGCGAAACAAGAAGCGGUGCCUUGGGCUGGGUCUUCUCUGAGUACCUAGGUGUGAAUGCUGGACCUGACCGUGGAACAUAUAUGUAAGCACAUUGAAAUCUUGCA